rnacentral:rRNA from 1 species
AUUGAACGCUGGCGGCAUGCUUUACACAUGCAAGUCGAACGGCAGCGCGGUCUUCUUCCUGGCUGCGAGUGUCGCACUGGUGUGUAAUGCAUCUGAACGUGCCCUGUUGUGGUUUAUUGCCCGUCUAAAGCCGGUUUAAUACCGCCUUCGACCUGCUGGUGCAAGCUGUGGUCCGAUAGUCCUCGCGCUCUUUUUUCUGCCGAUGUCGGAUUAGCUAGUUGGUGGGGUAAAGUCUUACCAAGGCGACGAUCCGUAGCUGGUCUGAGAGGACGACCAGCCACAAGGGGAGUGAGACACGGCAAAGACGACUACGGGAGGAAGCAGUGGGGAAUGUUGGACAAUGGGGGGAAACAGGAUACAGCCAUGCCGAGUGAGGGAAGAAGGCGUUCGGGUUGUAAAACGGUUUUGUUAGGGAAGAAAAGCUCUGGGAUAAUACCCCGGGGGGAUGACGGUACCGGAAGAAGAAGCACCGGCUAACUACGUG